rnacentral:rRNA from 1 species
UACAGAGGGGGCAAGCGUUGUUCGGAAUUACUGGGCGUAAAGGGCGCGUAGGCGGCCUGUUAAGUCGAACGUGAAAUCCCCGGGCUCAACCCGGGAACUGCGUCCGAUACUGGCAGGCUUGAAUCCGGGAGAGGGAUGCGGAAUUCCAGGUGUAGCGGUGAAAUGCGUAGAUAUCUGGAGGAACACCGGUGGCGAAGGCGGCUACCUGGACAGAAACUGACGCUGAGGCGCGAAAGCUAGGGGAGCAAACAGG